rnacentral:rRNA from 1 species
AACGAACGCUGGCGGCAUGCCUAACACAUGCAAGUCGAACGAGACCUUCGGGUCUAGUGGCGCACGGGUGCGUAACGCGUGGGAACCUGCCCUUAGGUUCGGAAUAACUCCCCGAAAGGGGUGCUAAUACCGGAUAAUGUCUUCGGACCAAAGAUUUAUCGCCUUUGGAUGGGCCCGCGUUGGAUUAGCUAGUUGGUAGGGUAAAAGCCUACCAAGGCGACGAUCCAUAGCUGGUCUGAGAGGAUGAUCAGCCACACUGGGACUGAGACACGGCCCAGACUCCUACGGGUGGCAGCAGUGGGGAAUAUUGUACAAUGGGCGAAAGCCUGAUCCAGCAAUGCCGCGUGAGUGAUGAGGGCCUUAGGGUUGUAAAGCUCUUUUACCCGGGAUGAUAAUGACAGUACCGGGAGAAUAAGCUCCGGCUAACUCCGUG